AACGAACGCUGGCGGCAGGCCUAACACAUGCAAGUCGAACGCCGUAGCAAUACGGAGUGGCAGACGGGUGAGUAACGCGUGGGAACAUACCCCCUCGGUUCGGAAUAACUCAGGGAAACUUGAGCGUAAUACCGGAUACGUCCGAGGUUUUAAUCGACCUGGGAGAAAGAUUUAUCGCCGGAGGAUUGGCCCGCGUCUGAUUAGCUUGUUGGUGAGGUAAUGGCUCACCAAGGCGACGAUCAGUAGCUGGUCUGAGAGGACGAUCAGCCACACUGGGACUGAGACACGGCCCAGACUCCUACGGGAGGCAGCAGUGGGGAAUCUUGCGCAAUGGCGCGAAAGCGUGACG
rnacentral:rRNA from 1 species